rnacentral:rRNA from 1 species
GGCUCAGAACGAACGCUGGCGGCGUGCCUAACACAUGCAAGUCGAGCGCGAAAAGGGCAACCUGAGUAGAGCGGCGCACGGGUGCGUAACACGUGGGUAAUCUGCCUUUGAGUCUGGGAUAACCUUCCGAAAGGUUGGCUAAUACCAGAUAAGCUCACGGGGGCUUCGGCCCCUGGGAGAAAAGUGGACCUCUAUUCAUAAGUUCACACUCGAAGAUGAGCCCGCGGCCCAUCAGCUAGUUGGCGGGGUAACGGCCCACCAAGGCUACGACGGGUAGCUGGUCUGAGAGGACGAUCAGCCACACUGGAACUGAGACACGGUCCAGACUCCUACGGGAGGCAGCAGUGGGGAAUUUUCCACAAUGGGCGAAAGCCUGAUGGAGCAACGCCGCGUGUGUGAUGAAGGUCUUCGGAUUGUAAAGCACUUUCGACCGGGACGAAAAACCUCUGGCUAACAUCCAGGGGCCUGACGGUACCGGGAGAAGAAGCACCGGCUAACUCUGUGCCAGCAGCCGCGGUAAUACAGAGGGUGCAAGCGUUGUUCGGAAUUAUUGGGCGUAAAGCGCGUGUAGGCGGCUUGACAAGUCGCAUGUGAAAGCCCUCGGCUUAACUGAGGAAGUGCGUGCGAAACUGUCGAGCUUGAGUGCCGGAGAGGGAGGCGGAAUUCCGCAAGUAGAGGUGAAAUUCGUAGAUAUGCGGAGGAACACCGGUGGCGAAGGCGGCCACCUGGACGGCAACUGACGCUGAGACGCGAAAGCGUGGGGAGCAAACAGGAUUAGAUACCCUGGUAGUCCACGCCGUAAACGAUGAGAACUAGGUGUCGUGGGUGUUGACCCCCGCGGUGCCGCAGCUAACGCAUUAAGUUCUCCGCCUGGGA